AUGAAAAAUGGGGAAACAAAAUUUAUUGUCUUUAUAAUUACUUCAUAAUUUAAAUGCAGUAUGGAGUUUUUAACAAGAUCUGUUCGAAAACCGGGAUAACCGAAUUGUCGCUGCGAAGCGUUCGUAGCAAUAUCACUUGUUGAUCGUUUGGUGUCGGCUUUUUUUAUCAUUGUGAAGGAAAAUUUAUCGAGUGUUGGAUUGUUCAUCCAUGCUGUGUUUAGAACGUCCAAAGACGGGUUAGUUUUACCCCACUAAUGAUAAUGUGUUGUUGUAACAGCAUUCCGGCGUAGAAGGAGCGCCAGGAAGGUACGAACCAAUCGCACAAUACUUGUACGAGCUAAUAGUUAUCCGUUGCUACCUCCGCUCUAUUAUGCCUGAGCUCCUCUAAGGUCGAACAGGAAAAUGUCCGGAAAUCGAUUCCCUUUUUGAGUGCGUAUUGAAGGAAUUCAAUUGAGAACAAUUUAAACAUUCCGUUUUGUUUACCUUAUGCACAGAACCUCGAAAUAAUGAAAAAAAAAAGAAAACUUAAUCACUUGUGGUUUUGUGUGGCCAUGGCCG
rnacentral:ncRNA from 1 species